UUCUCUCCACAUUUCAGACCAAAACACACCCAUAAACAUUCAGAACAUUCUAGUGAGAGAAAGGGAGGAAAACUUUAGAGAGAAAUCAAUUUUGACCAAAAUCUAAGCCCCGAAUCGCGAAGCUCAUGAAGUGAAAAGUGUUGUACGUCGCGUUGCCUUCAAUUUGAACUAAAAAUCAGCCAAGAAGAAGAUUGUUGAAGUGGUUGCUGCAUACUUAAGAUUUUGGACGAAACGGGAAUUGAAUCUGGACGAGCGUAAGGCGCAACUAAGGGCUGCGUUGCAUGCCGCGCAGGUACUCCCAUGUGAGUUAAAGACAGUAUAGAAGAUGUUCCAGUGCAGACGGCAAGCUCCAUUUGUUCCCGGAGUGCUGACGAGUCAGGGUUUGUAUGUUAUGAUUUCUGGAUUACGUUAGAGACUUUGCAGACAGCGUCGUGGGUAUUGGUUAUCAGUCUGUAAGCGGCUCCGUCAGCCGAUAUGUCGGUCUGUGUUAUGUACUGAAUCUUUUAUGAUCAUAGAUUUGUUCAGCUUGGAAGCUACGAGAAAGAAUAGUUCUGGAAAAAAAAUUAUGGUGUAUUUUAUCUUAUUUGAUCUAAAAAGUUUGACGUGAUUUUAUGUGCAACAAAAGUCAGAGGGUUCGCUCGGCCCUAAGUAAGGGUUGGGUGCCCAUCACACCCUAGGGAUAUUGGGGUGUGACAGUUAUGGUGUCAAUUCAAAUGUUAUAAUUUUAUCA